rnacentral:tRNA from 1 species
AGGUAAGUUGUUGAUUUUUCUCAGGUUUCCCUUGGACUCUUAAUCCGUAGGUCGAGUGUUCGAGUCACUCAGGGCCCACCA